rnacentral:rRNA from 1 species
AAUGAACGCUGGCGGCAUGGAUUAGGCAUGCAAGUCGAACGGGCCGUUUUUCGCAAGAGAGACGGUCAGUGGCGAAAGGGUGAGUAACACGUGAGCAACCUGCCCCCGAGUCCGGGAUAGCCCGCGGAAACGCGGAUUAAUACCGGAUGUGGUACCCCGUCGCAUGGCGGGGCCACUGAAGAUUUAUCGCUCGGGGAUGGACUCGCGGCCCAUAAGCUGGUUGGUGGGGUAACGGCCCACCAAGGCGAUGACGGGUAGGUGGUCUGAGAGGAUGGUCACCCACACUGGGACUGAGACACUGCCCAGACUCCUACGGGUGGCUG